rnacentral:rRNA from 1 species
AGAGAGAGACAUGCGCGCAUAUCAAUAAGCGGAGGAAAAGAAACUAACAAGGAUUCCUCUAGUAACGGCGAGUGAAGCGGGAAGAGCUCAAAUUUGAAAUCUUAAAGGGUUUCCCUUUACGAAUUGUAGUUUAAAGAAGUGUUUUCUGUUGGAGUUUCGGUAAAAGUUCUUUGGAAUAGGACAUCAUAGAGGGUGAGAAUCCCGUAUUUGACCGUUACUUUCCAGCUGUGUGAUACACUUUCAAAGAGUCGGAUUGUUUGGGAAUGCAGUCCAAGAUGGGUGGUAAAUUUCAUCUAAAGCUAAAUAUUGGCGAGAGACCGAUAGCGAACAAGUACCGUGAGGGAAAGAUGAAAAGAACUUUGAAAAGAGAGUUAAACAGUACGUGAAAUUGUCAAAAGGGAAGCGUUUGACACCAGUGUUGUUUUUCCGAAAAUCAAUUACGAAUGUUUUAUUUUUGAGGAGUUAUGACUUCAUCGGCUUGCUCCUUUCUUUAUCGAAACUUUCUUAAUGCACUUUUCGGUUAACAAGUCAACAUCAAUUUCUUUUGUUGUAAAAGGGUAUGAGGAAGGUGGCUUUCUCUUUCGGCGCAAGUGUUUAUAGCCUUGUAGCCUCUGCAAUCGGAGAGAUUGAGGUCUGCAGCGUAGAUCCUUCGGGGUUAGAUACAGUUGGUGCUAAGCUAUAGCCUUUCAUAGACAACUUGUUGACUAUGCUCUAGUCAUGUAGCUUACUCGCUUAUGCUAUUUUACCUACGCUUAGGAUGUUGAUAGUCACAGCGUGUAC